rnacentral:lncRNA from 1 species
GAUUCCUCAAGGUCAAGUUGCUGUCAAAAUAUAAGAGUGGUCAAAAGCCUCAGUUUUUUCUCUUUCUUUUUUUUUUUUUUUUUUUUUUUUUUUGACAAGAGGAACCUGAACAGUCUGCUGAAGCACCUGAUGUUUGGCCUUUCUGAAUGUCAUGGAACAUGUAGUCACUGUAUAUACAGACUUCACCAUCAAUUCAUACAGCAGAUAUCAUCAUACACAGUCUGGGUGUUGAUGAUUUGGGCCCAGAGAGACCAAGUAAGCGAAUUGCCUGAAGACACAUUGUUGGUGAGUAACAAAAUACGGGGACCUGGAGCAAUACUAAUUUCACAACCCUAUUUACUCUCUUCUGGAAAGUAAGAAAAAAAAAUGGUAUGACUCUGGAAAAAAUUGAUGAAGUUCCCAGGUCUCAGAUUAAAGCAUAAUAUUGGAGAAGCAGAAACUCCGUUUAUCACCCAGUGAAGUGAAUUUGAGGAUUAGAUCUUUCUCUGUUAGUUAUAGUGCAUUAUUCAGGGCAGAUACAUGUGCCUGACCAUGUUGAUCAGAUAAAGCAGAUGACCAUUAAAGUCCCCUAUCACAGUAUGAAAUAUGACUGUAUGUUCUGCUAUUCCUAUUUAAUGGAGAAAUGUGAGAAAGCUGUUCCUUGUUGAAAAUCAACUCACAAUAUAAACAAAUAACAUUGUAUCUAUUAACACUAGCAAAUGAGAACAGAAAAUAG